rnacentral:tRNA from 1 species
GGGCGGUUAGCUCAGUUGGGAGAGCACCUGCCUUACAAGCAGGGGGUCACUGGUUCGAGCCCAGUACCGCCCACCA